AGGAUAAUAGUUAAUAUUAACAUUUAAUUUGCAUUUUAAAAACAUUGGGAAUCCAAUUUAUCUUA
rnacentral:tRNA from 1 species